CAGCAGCCGCGGUAAUACGUAGGUGGCAAGCGUUGUCCGGAAUUAUUGGGCGUAAAGGGCUCGCAGGCGGUUUCUUAAGUCUGAUGUGAAAGCCCCCGGCUCAACCGGGGAGGGUCAUUGGAAACUGGGAAACUUGAGUGCAGAGGAUGAGAGUGGAAUUCCACGUGUAGCGGUGAAAUGCGUAGAGAUGUGGAGGAACACCAGUGGCGAAGGCGACUCUCUGGUCUGUAACUGACGCUGAGGAGCGAAAGCGUGGGGAGCGAACAGGAUUAGAUACCCCCGUAGUCCCUGUCUCUUAUAC
rnacentral:rRNA from 1 species